rnacentral:rRNA from 1 species
GUACACGCUGUGACUAGCAUAUCAAUAAGCGGAGGAAAAGAAACUAACAAGGAUUCCCCUAGUAACGGCGAGUGAAGCGGGAAGAGCUCAAAUUUGAAAUCUUAGAGGGCUUCCCUUUACGAAUUGUAGUUUAAAGAAGUGUUUUCUGUUGAGGUUUUGGUAAAAGUUCUUUGGAAUAGGACAUCAUAGAGGGUGAGAAUCCCGUAUUUGACCUUUACUUUCAACUUUGUGAUACACUUUCAAGAGUCGGAUUGUUUGGGAAUGCAGUCCAAAAUGGGUGGUAAAUUUCAUCUAAAGCUAAAUAUUGGCGAGAGACCGAUAGCGAACAAGUACCGUGAGGGAAAGAUGAAAAGAACUUUGAAAAGAGAGUUAAACAGUACGUGAAAUUGUCAAAAGGGAAGCGUUUGACACCAGUGUUGUUUUUCUGAAAAUCAAUUAAAGAACUGUUUAUGCUAAGCUGUUUAGACUUUAUCAGCUAUCUGUUUAGUUUUGAGCUUUUCUUUAAUGCACUUUUCAGUUAACAAGUCAACAUCAAUUUCUUUUGCUGUAAAAAAGCUUGAGGAAGGUGGCUUGAGAUUCGUCUUAAGUGUUUAUAGCCUCUUGCCUAUGCAGUCGGAGAGAUUGAGGUCUGCAGCGUAGAUCCUUCGGGGCUAAAUGCAUUUGUGCUAAGUUAUAGCAUUUUAUAGACAACUUGUUGACUAUGAUUUGUCUUGUAGCUUACUCGCUUAUGUUAUUUUACCUACGCUUAGGAUGUUGACGAGACUGUCGAUCUC